AUUGAACGCUGGCGGCAUGCUUUACACAUGCAAGUCGAACGGUAACAGGCCUUCGGGUGCUGACGAGUGGCGAACGGGUGAGUAAUGCAUCGGAACGUGCCCAGAGGUGGGGGAUAACGCAGCGAAAGCUGUGCUAAUACCGCAUGUGAUCUGAGGAUGAAAGCGGGGGACCAGGCAGCAAUGUUUGGCCUCGCGCCUUUGGAGCGGCCGAUGUCAGAUUAGGUAGUUGGUGGGGUAAAGGCCUACCAAGCCGACGAUCUGUAGCUGGUCUGAGAGGACGACCAGCCACACUGGGACUGAGACACGGCCCAGACUCCUAAGGGAGGCAGCAGUGGGGAAUUUUGGACAACGGGCGCAAGCCUGAUCCAGCAAUGCCGCGUGAGGGAAGAAGGCCUUCGGGUUGUAAACCGCUUUUGUACGGAACGAAAAGGCUCUGGCUAAUACCUGGGGCUGAUGACGGUACCGUAAGAAUAAGCACCGGCUAACUACGUG
rnacentral:rRNA from 1 species